rfam:Camelus ferus unplaced genomic scaffold scaffold1085, whole genome shotgun sequence.
GAGGGUGUAGCUCAGUAGUAAAGUGUAUGCUUAGCAUGCAUGAGGUCCUGGGUUUGAUCCCCAGUACCUCUA